AGGAAUCUCUUGAAACAUCAGGAAGGUAGUUUUAGUAGGUCUAUUGAGAAUUAUGGCUCUGAAGAAGAGAUACGUAGCGAUCCUGGUUAUGUAGCUUACUAUUUGUCCAACAUCAACCUGAAUCCGAGGCUCCCUCCUCCGUUGAUCUCACGUGAGAAUCAGCACUUGCUGCGUCAUUUGGGUGGUGAUGGUAAUAACCUGAGUCCAACAGCGUCUUGGGAUGAUAUGGGGGUAAGAUCUUCCUUGCUUGCUUCUAGAACUGCGCUUUCUACACAUAGAGAGGAGCCUGAGGACGAGGCUUCUUCUGGUGAACAGCUGACUUUUGCUUCUUUGCCUGGUCGUCGUAAGAGCUUUGCUGAUAUCAUUCAGGUACUGCUUGAUUCUAUCACUUAAUUUAAUUUUACAUUAAAGAAGAUUCUCUCUUUUAACGCUUUCUUUUGUGUUCAAGCGGCCUCAUUCGGCAGGGAACCAUCCAACAGCAGAAGACAUACAUGCCAUUUCUUCUGGUAUAGCUUCAGAAAGGACAAGAAGAGUACCAGAGUCUGAUAUAAGUGUGGUGAAUCUUCUGAGGGAGACAGAUUCUCUCUCCAUGGAGGCUAUUGCUAGUGAAGAUCCUUUUACCUCUGAGUUGAGCUCACAAAGUUCAACCAACACUCAGAAUGAGAGAUCAAAUGCGAGGGUAGGGAGCCGCGAGGACAACAAUCUAUCUGCUUUUGGUGCUUCUGGUCCAUCCUCUGCUGCUUCUAGAAUGAGGGGGAACCAAGAAGAGCCAAGGAGAAUGCCUGUGCAAUAUACGCCUUCAUCGUAUCAGGUUCAAGCUACUUCGCCACAACAAAUGACCUAUCCGAGGAUGGGUGGUGGUACACACGACAUGAUGCAGAACCUGCCUAGGAUUGCAACUGGAGAGGUACAUUCGAGUUUCCAAUCUCCUCACGGUUUGACAUCGCCUCCUAUGUAUACAUCAACAGCUGCAUAUAUGACAUCUCUGAGCCCGUUUUACAAUCAUAACUUUCAGUCCUCGGGUAUGUACCUCCCUCAGUAUGGUUAUAGCGGUUACCCUCCUGCCUCUGGUGUUGUCCCUCAGUAUAUGAGUGGAUACCCAUCUCAUGAAGCCACUGUUCCUAUGCCAUAUGAUAUCUCAUCGCCUUCUUCGGGCUACAACAACUCCUUCUCUCGUGAAUCCUUUUCACCUACUGCACAGAACACUCCUCUUCAAUCUGUUUGGUGAGAUUGGGCACCAACUUGAUCACCUCAUCAGCCUCUUCCACACGCUUACGCAGGCGUUCGAUCUCCUCCUGGACGCCUAUUACCCAAGGCUGACGAUAAUGAAAUCCAUCAGCCUUGGGGACAACAAAAAAAAACAUCAGACAACAUAAAAAAAAAAUUCUAUACUAAUAUAUGCGUCUGUUGAGGUAUCUCUUACCUCGUAGUUUAUGCAGCUGAAGAAGCGCUUCCCAGGAUGAGUGUCGUGCUCCUCCUUCACCCGAACCUCGUCAAUGAUUCUCCCACCACAGGGACAUCUUCUAGGAAUCCCAUAUUCAGAAUCUGCGACGUAUCCCAACAUGUUGCAGUACUCCUGAUGCCUCUUUGUAUCUCUUCUCUCCUCUGCGGGAUCCAUCUGAACCAGACAAGCAAACGGCUUACAACAAAAUCACAAAAUUAUAUCAUGAACGGAACCCAUAAUGGAACCCACUAUUCGAUAACAAAACGCUUCGAUCUAACCCAAAAUGAAACCCAGAUGACGAUUCGGAACCCUAGAAUCGAAACCCCCAAAACUCGAGUUUGAACCCUACCUCCAAUACCCCACUAAUCGACAACUAAACGGUUCGAUCUUACCCAAAAUGUAACCCAGAUGACGAUUUGGAACCCUAGAAUCGAAACCCCCAAAAUCGAGUUUGAACCCUAAUUUGAGAACCCCACUAAUCGACAUCAAAACGCUUCGAUCUAACGGGUAUUCACUCGACACACACCUAUUCUCGUCGAGGAGACACUCCGUCGUCGAUUCGAUGGAGAAAAGUGGAGAAACGUGAAGAAAAAUCAAAAUCGCUCGAGAGUUCGCCUCUCGGGAGAAAACCCUAGUCUUUUCUGGAAAAUGAGAAAAUGAAUUUCUCUCUGUUUUCGUCGUCGUGACGUCAACAACGCGGCGCCAAUGGAACCGUGACACCUGGCGUGAACCCGCCUCAUACCGAAUCACUUGUAAGAAGCGGGUCGCGGAAAUAAACCCAUUAAAACAUUUCUUUUUCCUAUUCGGGCCUAUGAACCCGAGCCCAUGAACCCCAUUACAACCUUCAAUGUGGAUGCUCUAAAAACUAUAAAUGAGAACAUUAUAAAUCUGAAUACUUCUUCUGUUUUUAAAGAUUAUUACUCGUAUAAUUCUUGUAAAAAUUCUAAUUAGUGGCUAAAAAGAAAAGAAGAAAAAUAAACAAAAGUGUGUAUUGUGUGUAUUUUGGUGGUAGCGAGCAAACAGGCAACAGAGACAGAGCCACGUGAACGUAUCUCUUUCAAUUACAAGUCUCAACACGUGUCGAACCUAGUCAUCACUUUUAGAACAAAUUGACGAAAAAGGGCUUGCGGUACCACCAUUAUCAAAACCAUACAGGGGGUGUUCCAGUCAUUACCUAGUUAAGAGGACGUCUUCGUGUGCGAAUCCGUCGUGAUUCUUAAUUAAGUUUUGGUUAAUGUUUUGUUAAAAUACGUAAAAAUUAAAGAUUAACAUCCCAAUAAUUGCCUUUAGAAAUUAAAGAAAAAAAACAUUAACUCUUGACUUGGUGACUCGACGAAAGCCUUGGAGACAAACUUUUCAAAGGGGUUAGUUUUAAUCUCUCUGGGUCUCAUCUCAUCGCUGCAACAAUUUCAUAUCAAGAAAAAAAAACACUUUCAUGGAGGCUUAAACAUCACCACCAUCAGGUAACUCUUUAACUCUUAGCUUCAGCCUAAGUUUUUGUGUUCUUUCACAAGUUAUGCAAGGAGCUAGUUUUAAAUGAAUAAAGAAGGAUAAAGUGAAGUUUCUGUUUAUUAGAAUUUUGAUCCUCGGUUAUAUAUGGGACUUUUACUCUUUGUAACGAGGUUGAUGAACGAGUCCAGUACUUUUAAAAAGAUGAUCCUUGUAAGUUCUUGCUGAUGGUUGUUUGGGUUGACUAAACUUUUUUAGCUUGUGAAAUGGUAGAAUCGUGUCUGAAAUUUUUCGAUCCUUGAUUGUCGAUUACACAUAGACUCAAAAAUAAACGUUGAUCAUUGAAAGUUUGGGAUCAAGUUCUCAGCUUUUUGAUUCUCUUAUGGACUAAGGUUUUAGCUUUACCCUUUUUGGGUUAGGUAGUAUUAUUAUUAUGUAAUCAAUCACCUUGUCUGAAAAUUUUGAAUUUGUUUUGGUUGAUGUAUAGAAAGUAUGACGACGCAGAGCGCUAUGAGGAUGGUGGAAGGUGAUCAUGUAAAAAGUUGGCAGGCUUCCUCUAGGGAUACUAGUGGGAUAUUUGGUUCACAUGAUAUGGCUGUUGAAGAUUUAAGGUUCCUUAUGGAAAGAAAUAGAUUGGAUAGUAGUGGAAGUGAUCAUACAGGUAAGAUCCCUAGUAGGAGUGGAAGCGCGCCGCCUAGCAUGGAAGGUUCAUUUGCAGCUCUUAGGAAUCUCUUGAAACAUCAGGAAGGUAGUUUUAGUAGGUCUAUUGAGAAUUAUGGCUCUGAAGAAGAGAUACGUAGCGAUCCUGGUUAUGUAGCUUACUAUUUGUCCAACAUCAACCUGAAUCCGAGGCUCCCUCCUCCGUUGAUCUCACGUGAGAAUCAGCACUUGCUGCGUCAUUUGGGUGGUGAUGGUAAUAACCUGAGUCCAACAGCGUCUUGGGAUGAUAUGGGGAUAAGAUCUUCCUUGCUUGCUUCUAGAACUGCGCUUUCUACACAUAGAGAGGAGCCUGAGGACGAGGCUUCUUCUGGUGAGCAACU
rnacentral:lncRNA from 1 species